GGUGCCCAUGUUCCAAGGCGGCGAGCGAGACUCCAAAUCUUGCUGUGGCAGGUUCGAUUCCUGCGGCAUCU
rnacentral:tRNA from 1 species